CCCAUCUCCACCUCUCUCUCACUUCUCCUCUCUGCAACCUACACGUUUCGCCCAACCAUCGUUUUCCCUCGCCGUCUGCACACCUCUCAGCCGUUUGCGUUCGCUGGGCCCUGCCAUCGUUUGACGAGUUAAGGCUUCGCAACGUUCGCGGGAUCUGAAGCCAUUCACCACAGCUCGUUCGUUGUCGCGCCAUUGCUCGACUCCCAACCGUUCGCUCUAGUUGUCCGCCUUCAUUCGACCAUUCGCCCACCGUUAGCCAGAUCCUCGUCGUUCUGUCUGUCUCACGUAGGGACUGCUGCAAUCGAUGAUUCUUUCGAGUUGCGUUCAACCAACCAUCCGACAACUGCUUUCCUAAUCUGGUCGAUGCCAUCAGUCUUUUCGUUGUCGACCAGCCACUGGGUUUCGCUGGAUCUUAAGUUUUGGCGUAAGUUUUUUGGUUUUUCUUAAAAAUUUACCCAUUUAAAUUUUUGUCCAAUACUUAUUUAACCCUAAAUUUUGGAUGAUGGAUUCAGGAAUUUGAGGAUAUUAAACCGCUAUCCCAAUAGUGUUUGAGGUUCGAUUUUGUUGUGUUUGGAUUAAAUUGAUUUGCCCUUAGGUUUGGGGCCUGAACUUGAGUUUUUGGAAGGAUUGUGUAUUCCAAAAGUUUGCUAUCCAGUUGUUUCAGUGAUCGACUUUGGAGGUUGGAGUUGAGAUCUUGAGGUGGUUUUGGAUCAAACCACUACCAGGUAAGGCGCCUCACAGUUAGUCUCAUAUUCUAUCUUAUUUGAUUUAUGUAUUAAGGUUACAACUAUUAGUUAUGAUAAUUUUUAACUUGUUUAAUUUGUACUAUUAUAUUCAUAUCAUAAGAGAAGGAAGUUGUUAGUGCAUCAACCACACAUGAGGAAGGGAAAAAGGUUAAGGAGAUGGAAGCUAUUAGUAUACUUUGCUUGAGUUUUUUUUUUUUUUUUUUUGUAAAAUUUAUUUCAGUCUGAAUAUUAUACUAUACUCUUUGACGAAUAUAGGGCAAUGACCAUUUUUCAGUCUAAAAAAAUUUGCAAAAGACUAAAAAAACCACAUUCUAGAAAACAGUAAAGGUAAGUAUAAGAGUAUUGAAAAAAUUAAUAGAAUGAUGUUUAUUUAAUGCAUCUGUAUGAUAUGUGUAUUAAUUAUUGGCUUUGUAUUUUAGUGUCCUUUACAAAUGGGAACUAUCGAUGGGUAUUAUGUUAUAAUAUAUAUGCGAGAAAUUGUGACUAAACAGAAGAAUAUUAUCGCAGAUGCGAUUGAUACGAGGAGCUCGUACUCGCAACUUGAAUUGGAUGAAGUACGCGUGGAAUGGGCUAAAUAUUUAGGUCGCUAUAUCUGAUGGACUUCCUAUAAAUUUUGUGUAUGUGGCUACAUGGGAAUGCCCAAAACUUUUUUUGUGUAAAUGUUUUGUUCAACCAUUAUAGGUUAUAUACUUCAAAGAAAUGUGUGGUGGAGGAUAGAAUUUUAGUCUUCUGAUUUUUGGAAUACAUAGCAUAUAUAGAUUGGUCUUACAAUUUUGGAAUUAUCAUAUAUUGGGGUGGGUUGAUAGAGUAUAUAUUGUUGUACGAUUGGUCUUGUAAAUUUUGGAAUCGUUCAUAUAGACGUGAGUAAUAGAAGAAUGGAAUUGUUUAUUUUAGUA